rnacentral:rRNA from 1 species
UUCGCAUUUCAAUAAGCGGGGGAAAAGAAACUAACAAGGAUUCCCCUAGUAGCGGCGAGCGAAGCGGGAAGAGCUCAAAUUUAUAAUCUGGCACCUUCGGUGUCCGAGUUGUAAUCUCUAGAAAUGUUUUCCGCGUUGGACCGCACACAAGUCUGUUGGAAUACAGCGGCAUAGUGGUGAGACCCCCGUAUAUGGUGCGGACGCCCAGCGCUUUGUGAUACAUUUUCGAAGAGUCGAGUUGUUUGGGAAUGCAGCUCAAAUUGGGUGGUAAAUUCCAUCUAAAGCUAAAUAUUGGCGAGAGACCGAUAGCGAACAAGUACCGUGAGGGAAAGAUGAAAAGCACUUUGGAAAGAGAGUUAACAGUACGUGAAAUUGUUGGAAGGGAAACGCUUGAAGUCAGACUUGCUUGCCGAGCAAUCGGUUUGCAGGCCAGCAUCAGUUUUCCGGGAUGGAUAAUGGUAAAGAGAAGGUAGCAGUUUCGGCUGUGUUAUAGCUCUCUACUGGAUACAUCCUGGGGGACUGAGGAACGCAGUGUGCCUUUGGCGGGGGUUUCGACCUCUUCACACUUAGGAUGCUGGUGGAAUGGCUUUAAACGACCCGUCUUGAAAA